ensembl:lncRNA
GCGACCAAUAUAGCCACCUUUCUUUGCAAGGACACUCAAAAGCCUGCCAUCCAUGGAUUCUGUCAGUGUUUUGAUCUGUUCACCAUCAACAUUGCGUGCAGCAGCAACCACAGCCUCCCAGACACUGUUCAGAGAGGUGUACUGUUUUCCCUCCUUGUAAAUCUCACAUUUGAUGAUGGACCACAGGUUCUCAAUGGGGUUCAGAUCAGGUGAACAAGGAGGCCAUGUCAUUAGUUUUUCUUCUUUUAUACCCUUUCUUGCCAGCAAUGCUGUGGAGUACUUGGACGCGUGUGAUGGAGCAUUGUCCUGCAUGAAAAUCAUGUUUUUCUUGAAGGAUGCAGACUUCUUCCACUGCUUGAAGAAGGUGUCUUCCAGAAACUGGCAGUAGGACUGAGGGUUGAGCUUGACUCCAUCCUCAACCCGAAAAGGCCCCACAAGCUCAUCUUUGAUGAUACCAGCCCAAACCUGUACUCCACCUCCACCUUGCUGGCGUCUGAGUCGGACUGGAGCUCUCUGCCCUUUACCAAUCCAGCCACGGGCCCAUCCAUCUGGCCCAUCAAGACUCACUCUCAUUUCAUCAGUCCAUAAAACCUUAGAAAAAUCAGUCUUGAGAUAUUUCUUGGCCCAGUCUUGACGUUUCAGCUUGUGUGUCUUGUUCAGUGGUGGUCGUCUUUCAGCCUUUCUUACCUUGGCCAUGUCUCUGAGUAUUGCACACCUUGUGCUUUUGGGCUCUCCAGUGAUGUUGCAGCUCUGAAAUAUGGCCAAACUGGUGGCAAGUGGCAUCUUGGCAGCUGCACGCUUGACUUUUCUCAGUUCAUGGGCAGUUCUUUUGCUCCUUGGUUUUUCCACACGCUUCUUGCGACCCUGUUGACUAUUUUGAAUGAAACGCUUGAUUGUUCGAUGAUCACGCUUCAGAAACUUUGCAAUUUUGAGACUGCUGCAUCCCUCUGCAAGAUAUCUCACUAUUUUUGACUUUUCUGAGCCUGUCAAGUCCUUAUUUUGACCCAUUUUGCCAAAGGAAAAGAAGUUGCCUAAUAAUUAUGCACACCUGAUAUAGGGUGUUGAUGUCAUUAGACCACACCCCUUCUCAUUACAGAGAUGCACAUCACCUAAUAUGCUUAAUUGGUAGUAGGCUUUCGAGCCUAUACAGCUUGGAGUAAGACAACAUGCAUGAAGAGGAUGAUGUGGACAAAAUACUCAUUUGCCUAAUAAUUCUGCACUCCCUGUAUGUGUUUUCACAAUGUACGGUAUGUAGUAUGUGUACUAUAGAAAAAAACAAGGGUAACUACAGCUAUUUAUGCUUAUUUAUGUACUUUGCGUUUGUCGUUGGUGUUCUGCAUUUUGGUGAUGUGGCUAAGGUUGAACAGGCACGAGGCUGGUUGUUUUGUUAUUUUAUAUGAAUUUCCUGUGGUUUGUGCAACUUUCUCAUGCUAAACAAGAACAUCUGCCAGCAGUUUAUUUACACUUUAUUUGCACCACGCCAAGGGUGUGUUUCAGAAAGACUGUGAAAGCAGGUUUGUGGUGCUCCAUUUAAACUCCUCAUUCAUUUAGUGACUGGCAAAUCUCAUAUCAGAGCAUACUAACUUGUUAAAAUGAAUGUCUUUACAAACACUGAAGAAGCUUUUACAAUCAGUCUGCCAUCAGUAGACACUGUGGCUUUAUUAUCAGCUCAGAACAAAAUGUAUGCAUCUUUCUCAUGUUGUGACUUUGUGGUCUGUAAAGCAGCUGUCAGCAUUUUGUGAAAUAUUUGUUGUAGAAAUCACUAUUUAGGUAAAAGUAACCUGUGUGAGUGUUCAAACAUGUGAAACUCUGGUAAAUCAUUAGUCAGUUAUUAUAUUGCAGUGACUCAUAUUGAUGUUGGAGAUAAUGUAAAUAUAUGAGUGAAGAUGAGUGUGCUAAAAUCAUUAAGAUUCUAAAACUGGAAUAAAUUGAGCUUAAAGCGACCGUCAACAAAUUUAUCAGUGGAGCAGACCUCAGGGCAUCCUGUGAUUGGUUUUGCUUGGUGGUAAAAUGUAGAAAUCUUGUACACCUUUUGCACAGAGUGGCAACUUUCUCAUACUCACAUGUCUGAGAUACCAGCAAACUCUUGUUGCACUAUUCAGUUACCAGUGCAAUAAGAGUUUUUUGGGGAAGGAAAUGUUGACUUUUAUUUAGAUUUACUUCAAACUCUGUAGUUUCUCAUGAACAUUAUCUAAUCUCACUUAGUGUGUGUGUGUGUGUGUGUGUGUGCGUGCAUAGUUUCAUUGUUGAAGUGAGAAUGCUGGGGCUUGCUUUUUGUGUUUUUGGUAUCUGUUUUUAUAUGUGACAUGACUUCAACUCAAGAAAUAAAGCAUUAAAAAAU